rnacentral:rRNA from 1 species
UGGGGAAUAUUGCACAAUGGGGGGAACCCUGAUGCAGCGACGCCGCGUGGGUGAGGAAGUACUUCGGUAUGUAAAGCCCUAUCAGCAGGGAAGAAAAUGACGGUACCUGACUAAGAAGCCCCGGCUAACUACGUGCCAGCAGCCGCGGUAAUACGUAGGGGGCAAGCGUUAUCCGGAUUUACUGGGUGUAAAGGGAGCGUAGACGGCGUGCCAAGUCUGAUGUGAAAGGCCGGGGCUCAACCCCGGGACUGCAUUGGAAACUGGCAUGCUGGAGUGCCGGAGGGGCAAGCGGAAUUCCUAGUGUAGCGGUGAAAUGCGUAGAUAUUAGGAGGAACACCGGUGGCGAAGGCGGCUUGCUGGACGGUAACUGACGUUGAGGCUCGAAAGCGUGGGGAGCAAACAGG